rnacentral:rRNA from 1 species
UGCAAGUCGAACGGGAAGAGAUGAAGAGCUUGCUCUUUAUCGAAUCCAGUGGCAAACGGGUGAGUAACACGUAAACAACCUGCCUUCAGGAUGGGGACAACAGACGGAAACGACUGCUAAUACCGAAUACGUUCCACGGGCCGCAUGACCUGUGGAAGAAAGGGUAGCCUCUACCUGUAAGCUAUCGCCUGAAGAGGGGUUUGCGUCUGAUUAGGCAGUUGGUGAGGUAACGGCUCACCAAACCAACGAUCAGUAGCCGGUCUGAGAGGAUGAACGGCCGCACUGGAACUGAGACACGGUCCAGACUCCUACGGGAGGCAGCAGUGGGGAAUCUUCCGCAAUGGACGAAAGUCUGACGGAGCAACGCCGCGUGAGUGAAGACGGCCUUCGGGUUGUAAAGCUCUGUGAUCCGGGACGAAAGAGCCUGAGGUAAAUAGCCUGAGGAAGUGACGGUACCGGAAAAGCAAGCCACGGCUAACUACGUGCCAGCAGCCGCGGUAAUACGUAGGUGGCAAGCGUUGUCCGGAAUUAUUGGGCGUAAAGCGCGCGCAGGCGGCUUACUAAGUCCAUCUUAAAAGUGCGGGGCUUAACCCCGUGAUGGGAUGGAAACUGGAAAGCUGGAGUAUCGGAGAGGAAAGUGGAAUUCCUA